rnacentral:lncRNA from 1 species
AGCAAUCGACUUACAAGGUUGAUGGCGAUGCAUAAAGCAAUCGACUUACAAAAGGGUGGAUGAAUACGUGCUAGUUCUGUUAGGUUUUGAAAAAUGAUUACUCGACGUUGGAUCGAGGUUUUGAUCUUGUUUUGAAAUGGUUAUCGAAUGUUCAUUUUAAUUCUUGUAUUAACAGAUGAAUAAAGAAUGAAAGAAUAAAUAUUAUACAUUUCAUGGGAGAGGGAUACAUUUGUUAUGAAUGGGGAUUCAAAAUAUUGGAAUAAUUAAAUCGGGUCCAAACAAUAAAUAAUGCAAUGUAUGAGUGUAAGUGCAAAGGAACCGACUCAUUGUAAGAAAGCCCAAGAGUAAGCUAUGUGAGGUUGAUGGCGAUGCUUAAAAAGCAAUCGACUUACAAGGGUGUGAAAAUGGGCUCGAUAGUAAAUCGAGAAAAAUAUGAUUUUUAUAAGUUUAAAAAUGAUUUUGAAUGAAUGAUGAAAUUAAAAGAAAAUAAAUUUGCAUUAUUAACAAAUGAAACUAUGAGUAUAAUAAAGGCAUAAACAUAAAAAAAGAAAUGAAAAUGCUAAAA